ensembl:lncRNA
AGGGUAGAGUACCGGGUGGUAGCCGGCUAAUAACAGUGACUAUAGUUCAGGGUAGAGUACCGGGUGGUAGCCGGCUAGUAACAGUGACUACGGUUCAGGGUAGAGUACCGGGUGAUAGCCGGCUAGUAACAGUGACUACGGUUCAGGGCAGGGUACUGGGGUAGCCGGCUAGUAACAGUGACUAAGGUUCAGGGUAGAGUACCGGGUGAUAGCCGGCUAGUAACAGUGACUAAGGUUCAGGGCAGGGUACUGGGCGGAGGCCAGUAACAGUGACUAAUGUGUCAGGGCAGGGUACUGGGCGGAGGCUGGCUAGUGGUGACUGUUUAACAGUCUGAUGGCCUGGAGAUAGAAACUGUUUUUUCAGUCUCUCGGUCCAACUUUGAUGCACCUGUAGUGUCUCCACCUUCCAGAUGGUAGCAGGGUGAAGAGGCCGUGACUCUGGUGGCUGAGGUCCUCGAUGAUCUUCUAGAUGGUAGCAGGGUGAACAGUCCGUGACUCUGGUG